rnacentral:rRNA from 1 species
GAUCCUGGCUCAGGACGAACGCUGGCGGCGUGCCUAACACAUGCAAGUCGAACGGGGUACCCCUGAAUGAGGCUUCGGCCGAAUGACGGGACUACCUAGUGGCGGACGGGCGAGUAACGCGUGAGCAACCUGCCUUUCAGAGGGGGGAUAACGUUCUGAAAAGAACGCUAAUACCGCAUAACGCAGCGCUGUGGCAUCACAGUGUUGCCAAAGGAGCAAUCCGCUGAAAGAUGGGCUCGCGU